UCUUACCACUUCCGCCCUCACCGGCGGCGACCUCAGCCUGGCGGAAAGCUCCUUGCCUGGAACGCAGAGGGCCUUCGCUGCUGCGGCCCCUGGGGACUCCUUCGCGACGGCUUCCCGGGGAGGGGGCUGAGGCCUGGCAGCGAGGACCCUGACACCCCUUCGGGAGAGGAGUGGCUGCUAGGCCGCUCGCUUGCUCCUGGAAAGAUUUGGGGUUUGAGAGCUCUUGGCCAGGAGGCUCGCGCUGGCCGAGGCCCGAGAGCUGUCCCCGCGGGACGGGACUAGCGAGGGCCGGGGAGAUGGAGCGCAGGCGGCGUCUGGGUUCGAAGCACUUUCCGGCUGAACCACCUGCUGCUGAGGCUGAGCCCUGAGAGGCGGUUCGUGGCCCCCAAACCGGGGAAGGGGCGAAGCUUUGGGCAUCUGUCCCAUGCAAGGGUCCCAACAUCUGAAUCUCACCUCACUCGUCUCCCACCUGUCACGAAUGGCCAGCGCCAAAGUGAUAAAUAUGUAAUAGGAAUGUCUUCCCGAGGCUGUGCUGGAGACUUCCCUGGCCGCACAGUGACCGUUCAGAGCCCACGAUAAGCAAGCCGAAACCCGGUUUGGCGCAGAGGCGCGCAAGGAGAGAGGUCUGUCCUUUGACUCUGUGAGUUGGGCAGCCUAACAUGGUUAUUGUUAAUUGACGGUAAAGUAUCUCGAGCUGUUUUAAAGGGGAUCUGCCGUCUAGGGAGUUCCCCUUGAAAAUCGGACCUUUGAGCAGUGACUUCUGUUUUGCCACCUGGGAGCAACGUGUAAGGAAGUGGACUUAAGCUUCUCUCUCCCCAGGGGAAGAAGCACAGUGGAAAAAUCACAAGUGACUUCUGGCCUGAAAAGCCCUUAAUUUACCUGCUUCUACAAUUACUGCCCUUUCUGACCCAGUUCUUUCCCUGCAGAUAUAGGUGAGGUUCAAAGAAGCAGAUGGUGGAGUUUUGUUAGACAAUCAGUGAAUUUUCUAAUUAGAAAAAGAACUGAGGUCGGGCGCGGUGGGCUCACGCCUGUAAUACCAGCACUUUGGGAGGCCAAGGCGGGCAGAUCACCCGAGGUCGGGAGUUCGAGACCAGCCUAACAUGGCGAAACCCUGUCUCUACUAAAAAUACAAAAAAAUUAGCUGGGCCUGGU
rnacentral:lncRNA from 1 species